UAGGCUUGUCUCGGUAGUGACGUCAUUUUCGCUUCUUUAUCGAAAUAUACUGUUCAGUAAACUUCUGAGACCUGUUACCGAACGGUCCUCCCACCGAUUUUACGACAGUUGUACCGAGAGGUUUUGGAUUUCGGUGUGGCCCUGUCGAUCAGUGAGCUGUGAUUUAUCUUCCUCAGGAUGAAAAUGAGGCGUCAGGAAUUGCCCAGGGCUCUGAGAACCAGUGAAACUUCCCACAAUGCUUUGGAACUAUUGAUGAGAAACAUUGUGAGAUAAUUGCACCUGCAAAUAGCGGAACAUAGUUUUAUAAUUAUGAAGGAUAUUUAAGCAUUAUGCGUUUAGGGGUAGCUGACAUUGAUUACUGCUUCAUAUACAAAUAUAUGUAUACAAAUAUGUAUACAAAUAUUGGUUCACAAGGACGUAUUUCAGAUGGUGGGGUGAUGAAAACCACUUUCUUCUGAAAGCAAAUGGAGAAUAACAGCCUUGGUAUUCCAGAGGAGGCACCACUUGUGGGAGGGAGCAAGAGCAUACCUUACAUAUUUCGUUGGUGACAAGGCAUUUUCUCCCCAUGAACAUUUAUUAAAACCACAUCCAGGCAAACAUGCUCAAGGAAAUGACGAAUGUGUGUUCAAUUAUAGACUGUGCAGAGCAAGGAGGGUGGUGGAGAAUAAAUUUGGAAUUCUUUCAUCUGUGUUCCCGGUGCUGCAAAGCCAAUGUUAUUGGACAUUGAAAACAGUAUUUUAUGCUCUCAUCUGGACAAUUUUUUGUAAUGAAGCAAGACCUCAAGGAGUGCUUACACGCCUCCAGGGACAAUUGAUGAAGAAACUGAGGAUGGAACUGUGGUUCUGCAUAGCUGGUGGCAAGGAACACAAAAUGACCGGCCUUUUUUGCCUCUGAGAUCUGUCCCAAGCAGAUUUUUUUUUAAAGAAGCAGAAGUAAGAAAUGAAUUUGCAAAAUAUUUGAAAUCAGAAAAAGACCAGGUUGAAUGGUAAUAGAAUUGUGGUUAAAAUUGAUUAAAUACUGUUUGUACUGCUCUCAUGAAAGUAAAACAUAAACGAAUGAAAACUA